UACGUAGGGACCGAGCGUUGUUCGGAUUUACUGGGCGUAAAGGGCGCGUAGGCGGCAAUUCAAGUCAGCUGUGAAAUCUCCGGGCUUAACUCGGAACGGUCAGCUGAUACUGCUUUGCUAGAGUGCAGAAGGGGCAAUCGGAAUUCUUGGUGUAGCGGUGAAAUGCGUAGAUAUGCGGAGGAACACCGAUGGCGAAGGCAAUCCCCUGGGCCUGCACUGACGCUCAUGCACGAAAGCGUGGGGAGCAAACAGG
rnacentral:rRNA from 1 species